rnacentral:rRNA from 1 species
UACGGAGGGUGCAAGCGUUAUCCGGAUUCACUGGGUUUAAAGGGAGCGUAGGUGGGUUGGUAAGUCAGACGUGAAAUCCCUCAGCUUAACUGGGGAACUGCGUCUGAGACUGGCGAGCUUGAGUGCAGGAGAGGAACGCGGAAUUCCAGGUGUAGCGGUGAAAUGCGUAGAUAUCUGGAGGAACGCCGGUGGCGAAGGCGGCGUUCUGGACUGCAACUGACACUGAGGAACGAAAGCCAGGGGAGCAAACGGG